CCUACGGGAGGCAGCAGUAGGGAAUUUUCCACAAUGGGCGAAAGCCUGAUGGAGCAACGCCGCGUGCAGGAUGAAUGCCUUUGGGUUGUAAACUGCUUUUAUAUGUGACGAUUAUGACGGUAGCAUAUGAAUAAGGAUCGGCUAACUCCGUGCCAGCAGCCGCGGUAAU
rnacentral:rRNA from 1 species